GUGUCAGCAGCCGCGGUAAAACGUAGGACGCGAGCGUUAUCCGGAUUUACUGGGCGUAAAGCGCAUGCAGGCGGCCUUGUAAGUCGGAUGUGAAAUCUCCCGGCUCAACAGGGAGGCGUCAUUCGAUACUGCAAGGCUUGAGGGCAGGAGAGGGGAGUGGAAUUCCCGGUGUAGUGGUGAAAUGCGUAGAUAUCGGGAGGAACACCAGUGGCGAAGGCGGCUCCCUGGCCUGUACCUGACGCUAAGAUGCGAAAGCGUGGGGAGCGAACGGGAUUAGAAACCCCGGUAGUCCACGCCGUAAACGAUGCGGACUAGGUGUGGGAGGUAUUGACCCCUUCCGUGCCGUAGCUAACGCGUUAAGUCCGCCGCCUGGGGACUACGGCCGCAAGGCUAAAACUCAAAGGAAUUGACGGGG
rnacentral:rRNA from 1 species